rnacentral:rRNA from 1 species
UACGUAGGGGGCGAGCGUUGUCCGGAUUUAUUGGGCGUAAAGAGCGUGUAGGCGGCCAGGUAGGUCUGCUGUGAAAACUCGAGGCUCAACCUCGAGACGUCGGCGGAAACCAUCUGGCUAGAGUCCGGAAGAGGAGAGUGGAAUUCCUGGUGUAGCGGUGAAAUGCGCAGAUAUCAGGAAGAACACCUAUGGCGAAGGCAGCUCUCUGGGACGGUACUGACGCUGAGACGCGAAAGCGUGGGGAGCGAACAGG